rnacentral:rRNA from 1 species
GACGAACCGAGCGAACGUUGUUCGGAAUCACUGGGCUUGAAGCGCACGUAGGCGGCGUUGUAAGUGUCGGGUGAAAUCCCACGGCUCACCCGUGGAACUGCCCGGCAUACUGCGAUGCUAGAGUGUGGUAGGGGAGAGCGGAACUCCUGGUGGAGCGGUGAAAUGCGUAGAUAUCAGGAGGAACACCGGUGGCGAAGGCGGCUCUCUGGUCCACAACUGACGCUGAGGUGCGAAAGCUAGGGGAGCAAACGGG